GAUAAAUAAAUAAAUUAUUAUUUAAAGUUGAGUUUAAGAGUUCCUUAAUAGGAUUUAUCU
rnacentral:tRNA from 1 species